rnacentral:rRNA from 1 species
AGAGUUUGAUCAUGGCUCAGAUUGAACGCUGGCGGCAGGCCUAACACAUGCAAGUCGAGCGGUAGCACAGAAGAGCUUGCUCUUUGGGUGACGAGCGGCGGACGGGUGAGUAAUGUCUGGGAAACUGCCUGAUGGAGGGGGAUAACUACUGGAAACGGUAGCUAAUACCGCAUAACCUCGCAAGAGCAAAGAGGGGGACCUUCGGGCCUCUCGCCAUCAGAUGUGCCCAGAUGGGAUUAGCUAGUAGGUGAGGUAAUGGCUCACCUAGGCGACGAUCCCUAGCUGGUCUGAGAGGAUGACCAGCCACACUGGAACUGAGACACGGUCCAGACUCCUACGGGAGGCAGCAGUGGGGAAUAUUGCACAAUGGGCGCAAGCCUGAUGCAGCCAUGCCGCGUGUGUGAAGAAGGCCUUCGGGUUGUAAAGCACUUUCAGCGAGGAGGAAGGCGAUAAGGUUAAUAACCUUAUCGAUUGACGUUACUCGCAGAAGAAGCACCGGCUAACUCCGUGCCAGCAGCCGCGGUAAUACGGAGGGUGCAAGCGUUAAUCGGANUGACUGGGCGUAAAGCGCACGCAGGCGGUCUGUUAAGUUGGAUGUGAAAUCCCCGGGCUUAACCUGGGAACUGCAUUCAAAACUGACAGGCUAGAGUCUUGUAGAGGGGGGUAGAAUUCCAGGUGUAGCGGUGAAAUGCGUAGAGAUCUGGAGGAAUACCGGUGGCGAAGGCGGCCCCCUGGACAAAGACUGACGCUCAGGUGCGAAAGCGUGGGGAGCAAACAGGAUUAGAUACCCUGGUAGUCCACGCUGUAAACGAUGUCGAUUUGGAGGUUGUGCCCUUGAGGCGUGGCUUCCGGAGCUAACGCGUUAAAUCGACCGCCUGGGGAGUACGGCCGCAAGGUUAAAACUCAAAUGAAUUGACGGGGGCCCGCACAAGCGGUGGAGCAUGUGGUUUAAUUCGAUGCAACGCGAAGAACCUUACCUACUCUUGACAUCCAGAGAAUUAGCUAGAGAUAGCUGAGUGCCUUCGGGAACUCUGAGACAGGUGCUGCAUGGCUGUCGUCAGCUCGUGUUGUGAAAUGUUGGGUUAAGUCCCGCAACGAGCGCAACCCUUAUCCUUUGUUGCCAGCGAUUCGGUCGGGAACUCAAAGGAGACUGCCGGUGAUAAACCGGAGGAAGGUGGGGAUGACGUCAAGUCAUCAUGGCCCUUACGAGUAGGGCUACACACGUGCUACAAUGGCGUAUACAAAGAGAAGCGACCUCGCGAGAGUAAGCGGACCUCAUAAAGUACGUCGUAGUCCGGAUUGGAGUCUGCAACUCGACUCCAUGAAGUCGGAAUCGCUAGUAAUCGUAGAUCAGAAUGCUACGGUGAAUACGUUCCCGGGCCUUGUACACACCGCCCGUCACACCAUGGGAGUGGGUUGCAAAAGAAGUAGGUAGCUUAACCUUCGGGAGGGCGCUUACCACUUUGUGAUUCAUGACUGGGGUGAAGUCGUAACAAGGUAACCGUAGGGGAACCUGCGGUUGGAUCACCU